rnacentral:rRNA from 1 species
GAUGAACGCUGGCGGCGUGCCUAAUACAUGCAAGUCGAGCGAACAGAUAAGGAGCUUGCUCCUUUGACGUUAGCGGCGGACGGGUGAGUAACACGUGGGUAACCUACCUAUAAGACUGGGACAACUUCGGGAAACCGGAGCUAAUACCGGAUAAUAUGUUGAACCGCAUGGUUCAAUAGUGAAAGAUGGUUUUGCUAUCACUUAUAGAUGGACCCGCGCCGUAUUAGCUAGUUGGUGAGGUAACGGCUCACCAAGGCAACGAUACGUAGCCGACCUGAGAGGGUGAUCGGCCACACUGGAACUGAGACACGGUCCAGACUCCUACGGGAGGCAGCAGUAGGGAAUCUUCCGCAAUGGGCGAAAGCCUGACGGAGCAACGCCGGCGUGAGUGAUGAAGGUCUUA